ensembl:snoRNA small nucleolar RNA SNORA40
AGCACUUGUGUGUGUUUUUGUAUUAAUUUGUGGACUAAAACCUAAUGAUCAGGUGCACUAAAAAAAUCAUCUUUUGCAACCCAUAAUAUUGUUUGGUAUGAGUUUUAUUACAUAUAAAGGGAGCCAAA